UACGAAGGGGGCGAGCGUUGUUCGGAAUUACUGGGCGUAAAGGGCGCGUAGGCGGCGACUCAAGUUAGAUGUGAAAGUCCUGGGCUUAACCUGGGAAUGGCAUUUGGGACUGCAAGGCUUGAGUGCGGCAGAGGAGACUGGAAUUCCCGGUGUAGCAGUGAAAUGCGUAGAUAUCGGGAGGAAUACCGAUGGCGAAGGCAGGUCUCUGGGCUGACACUGACGCUCAUGCACGAAAGCGUGGGGAGCAAACAGG
rnacentral:rRNA from 1 species